GCCGCGAGGUGGAGCGAAUCUCCAAAAAUUGUCCCAGUUCAGAUUGCAGGCUGCAACUCGCCUGCAUGAAGUCGGAAUUGCUAGUAAUCGUGGAUCAGCAUGCCACGGUGAAUACGUUCCCGGGCCUUGUACACACCGCCCGUCACACCAUGGGAGUCGGUAACACCCGAAGCCUGUAGUCUAACCGCAAGGAGGACGCAGUCGAAGGUGGGAUUGAUGACUGGGGUGAAGUCGUAACAAGGUAAC
rnacentral:rRNA from 1 species